ACUUCUCCCUAAUAUCUAACCUAAACCUCCCAUGUCUCAGUUUAAGACUCAUCAUCCUUGUCCUAUCACUAUCCACCCUUGUAAACAGCCAUUCCCCCUCCUGUUUAUAUCCCUUCAAAAUGCGUGUAUUAUGGACUUUGACUAUUCUGUUGUAUUUGCUUUGCAGUUUAUAUGUCUUACAGACUAUGGAACCUUUCUCUUUGCCUCGGAUGAAAUCCACUGAUUCCAAGAAAAUGAAUACAUUAUUUGUGGUAAUUGGAUGGAAGUGUAUGAUAUGUAAAUUAAUAGCUAUAUAAAUCAUUAAUGUAUUUUUCUCUUCUUAUGGUGUUUAUUAAGGGUAAAUGAUGCAGCAGACUAUUCUCUUCUCAGAGUAUUUUGUAGCAUACAGUGUAGAGGUAAUCUUAGAAUUUCACUUUUUAGUUUAAAAUCAAAGUUUUUAUUAGGAUUUAAAGUGGAUUUAAUCUGUUACUUCAGCUGCAUGACCACUAAAUUAGAAGGGUAAAUACUUGAAGAUUCUUUUCUAUUUAGAAAAUUGAAAGAUGUUAAUUUCUGUUGUAAGAAACUAUAAGUAAUCUGCCACUAUCUUAUGUUGAAUAAUAUAGCUGUACUCUCCCAUGGGUUUUGUUUGUAUAUUUUUUCUGUUUUGUUUGUUUUGAUAGCAUUUGCUGAAUGUUUGUUUUUGCUUUUGUUUUUGUUUUUUUAAUCCAGGAAGCAGGAAAGUGAUGAAUCUGGAACUAGUAAUGUGCUACUCGUUUUGAAGUCCUCAUGACCUAGAAUGCUUGCACUGACAUAAGAAAGAGAACAAAGAUUUGUAUUGGUUUAAGCUGAAUAUCAAACUACACUUUAAGCUGUAAGGCACUUAAACUGGCAAACAAACAAGGGCUAAAGGCUGAAAGACCAGUUCCUAAGUUUGGCCCUAGGCCACGUCUGUGAAAAUGUUCUGAAGCUAUUCAGAAGAGACAAAUAAGAAGAGAUAAAUGUGACAAAUCUCAGGAACACUUUCCUUUUGUAACCGCUUUUGGAGCGAUGUGUCAAUAAAAACAAAAGUUUCAAAUUGGAUUACCGCUACCUACUGGCAGGGAUUAGGUAAAAUGUUAAGACAAAUGGGUAUAUUGAGUAAUAGCCUUCAAUUUUGUGAAAGAAACAAGCUCUACAGUUCUUUUUAUUUAAUUAAUAAAUCAACAAGUUACAACUGAACAAGUGUAGCUCAAAACACUUCUUUAGGUAACACAUACAAGUCUGUACAGUCUCUUGCUGCCUUUGGCUUUAUCUAGUACCCAAAUGAAUAAACAGCCAAAACAUUAGUAUUUCCUCAGAGGGGUGGGGGGGGGGGGGAAAGAAUGAAAG